rnacentral:rRNA from 1 species
UGCAGUCGAACGGUGAAGGGGCCUGCUUUUGUGGGUCCUGGAUGAGUGGCGAACGGGUGAGUAACACGUGAGUAACCUGCCCCCUUCUUCUGGAUAACCGCAUGAAAGUGUGGCUAAUACGGGAUAUUCUGGGUCUGUCGCAUGGUGGGCCUGGGAAAGAUUGCGCCUUUUUUGGUGUUUUUGGUGGGGGAUGGGCUCGCGGCCUAUCAGCUUGUUGGUGGGGUGAUGGCCUACCAAGGCGGUGACGGGUAGCCGGCCUGAGAGGGUGGACGGUCACACUGGGACUGAGACACGGCCCAGACUCCUACGGGAGGCAGCAGUGGGGAAUAUUGCACAAUGGGCGCAAGCCUGAUGCAGCGACGCCGCGUGAGGGAUGGAGGCCUUCGGGUUGUGAACCUCUUUCGCCAGUGAAGCAGGCCUGCCUCGUUUGUGGGUGGGUUGACGGUAGCUGGAUAAGAAGCGCCGGCUAACUACGUGCCAGCAGCCGCGGUAAUACGUAGGGCGCGAGCGUUGUCCGGAAUUAUUGGGCGUAAAGAGCUCGUAGGCGGCUGGUCGCGUCUGUCGUGAAAUCCUCUGGCUUAACUGGGGGCUUGCGG